rnacentral:rRNA from 1 species
GAUGAACGCUGGCGGCGUGCCUAAUACAUGCAAGUCGAGCGAACGGACGAUAAGCUUGCUUCUCUGAUGUUAGCGGCGGACUGGUUAGUAACACGUGGAUAACCUACCUAUAUUACUUGGAUAACUUCGGGAAACCGGAGCUAAUACCGGAUAAUAUUUUGAACCGCAUGGUUCAAAAGUGAAAGACGGUCUUGCUGUCACUUAUAGAUGGAUCCGCGCUGCAUUAGCUAGUUGGUAAGGUAACGGCUUACCAAGGCAACGAUGCAUAGCCGACCUGAGAGGGUGAUCGGCCAAACUGGAACUGAGACACGGUACAGACUCCUAAGGGAGGCAGCAGUAGGGAAUCUUCCGCAAUGGGCGAAAGCCUGACGGAGCAACGCCGCGUGAGUGAUGAAGGUCUUCGGAUCGUAAAACUCUGUUAUUAGGGAAGAACAUAUGUGUAAGUAACUGUGCACAUCUUGACGGUACCUAAUCAGAAAGCCACGGCUAACUACGUG